UAUGAACGCGUCGAGACGCCUACCGUU
rnacentral:piRNA from 1 species